rnacentral:lncRNA from 1 species
CAUGCUUAAUCUAUUCAAAAUUAUAUUAAUAGGGCUCUUGUGUUGACCAAAGAAUACCUUGAGAACAAUCUAUAAAUUUCAAAAUAUUCAAUACACAAUCUGACAUCUCUUAUUUCUAUAGAAUUUUAACCGAGGAAUGAAUACUAUAUUAAGUAACGGUCAAAAAUGACAUUAAUUUAUUACAAUCAUAACCACUUUUUUUUAUCGGCAAAACAGUCAUAACCAUCGGAAAUGUAAAUUUUGUUAGUAUCAAAUUACACAUUACUCUACUUCUACCAAAAAUAGUUACACAACUCUCUUAUCAACUACUACUAUAAUUAUAGCAUAAUGACAGUUAUCAACAUUAAAAAAAGUACAAAAUAAAAGAUAUAUGGUGAUCAAACUAAACUUUGACCGACUCAACCAAAAAGGAAAAGGAAAAGAAGAGUGGUUCGAUAAGAAAUUUAAUUUGUACGUGAUCCUAGUAUUUUACCUUAUAGUAAGAGAUUUAAAAAUCUUGUGUUUCUGUGUAUAAUAAGUUUCAAUCAAGCAUUUGAUCUCUUACCACAACCAUCUUGUUCCCCUAACCAGCAGAGAAACAGCAUGAAAAUACUCCAAUUAUAUUUGAACAUUUCCUGUUGACAAAAACAAGAAGUAUCAAUAAAUUAAAUCAUUAAAUUUGCCCUGUAGUGUGUAGGGGAGGGUCCUUAUCAUAAAUGUGUUUCCAGUGUCUCCUCGGACGUAGAAAAACAAAUUCGCAAUUCCCCUGAUCAUAGCAACAUAUACGUACCAACCAAAACUAAAGCAAAAUAUUUUAUAGAUAUCGGGUGUAAAAGACACAAUGCUCCCUGUGGCAGUUGAACAAUACUCAUUAGGGAAUUUGAGAUCCUUCCCAAUAACAAACAAAACAAAGUUAUAUAUGUAUAUAAUCCUAUAAAUGAUGGGUCAAAUUGAGUAUAAGUUUAUCCUAUAUUAAAGCUGUUCGUUGCAUAGUUAAAUAAGAAUAAGAAUCUAUCUGUUUAAGACUAAAAUUAAUAGCAUUCUCAAUUUUUUAUUUAUUUAUAAAUUGUUUUUAUACCAACAAAGUUAAAAAAAAAGUCGACAAAUAAUUAUUUCUUUUGAGCAUGUUAAUCAGAAUUCAAUUCUUAACCUAUUUAUAAAAAUAAACAAUGUUAAAAGAGGUAAGCUCCACUUUGAUGAUAUCAUAUGUCAUAAAAGAAAUUAAUCUCUAGAGCUAGCUAAGUAUUGUUAGGUCAUCUCCAAUAAUGGUUCUUGAAAAAAGAUUUUAGCUUCAAGAUUUAUCUUUUUAAGAUUUAUUAUUGAAAUUGUCGGUUAGAUUUUCACAUGAAAAUCUGAUUCUUCUAUAAGAAUCAUCAAGAUCCGCACUAUUUUUUAAAAAAAGUUAUUUUUUUUCUAUCAUGCACAAUAGUUUCUUUUCUAUUUCUAUUGUGUACGAUAGUUUUUUGUUGUUCAAUGUCGAUAUUUGUAUUUUUUUAAAUAAUUUUAUGUAUUAUUGUAAGUUUAAAUUAUAUUGAUAAAUAAAUAUUUUAAUUAUUAAUAAAUUUUAUAUUUUUAUUAUAAUUUUUUAAUUAAAAAAUAUAUAAUUAUUUAUUUUCAUUAUUUUAAAAUAAUUUAUAAAUAAAUAUUAAAAGGUGGAUUCGUUGUGGGAUCUACAAAAAUGAUUUAAGAUUUCAAAAUAAAAUUUAUUAUUGGAGUAAAAGAUCUAAGAGAUCUUAAGAGUUAUGUGACACUACGAUAUCCAUAAAAAAGAUAGUUAAAAACCUAAAAUGGAAUCUCCUAGCUGAGAUGCCUUAAUGUCCCAAAAAAAUAUUGGUUUUGACUUUCUUAAUUUUUUUAUUAGAUAUAAAUAGACAAAAAUAUAGAUAAUACUUUUGACUCCAUUGAAAAAUCACUCUGAAUAAAAUUUAGAGUCUUAUGAUUAAAAGUAAUUAAUGAAAAAUGAGAAUAAAUAAUUAAAAAUGAUAACAGAUCAUCCUAUUGUUUUAUAAAAGAAAUUUCUUACAUACAAGGAGUGAGAAAAAUUAUAACUCCAAAAGAGUCUUAAUUCACAUUUUAUUUUAAAUUUAAAUACAUGCACCUCAACGUACUACAACUUCACCUACUGAAAAUUAAUAGUGCAUGCAAAUCCUCAUACAAUACAAACUCGUAUUAAAAAAUUCUCUUUAUACAAUACACUUUUUUUUUUAAAAUCUAACUACUCUAGAACAAUUUGUCUAUAUCUAGUAAGAAUAUAUGUAUAAAUUAAAAGUAGCUUAAACUAUAGAUAUUUCAAAUAAAGGUAGAUAUCUUUGUAUUUUCUUACUUAAUUUUAUUUAGUUCAGAAAACCAUUUUUUAUGACUAAGGUUGGCCAACGUAUCCGUGUACUUAAUUCCUUUCACAACAAACACCAAUUACCCUCACUUUGUCAAUGACCAAGAAUCAAAUCCUAACGGCUUCAACGGUAGUUGGGAUAUAUGAGAUUGCACGGCCAUUAAUGUCAACGGUUUGUUAAUUACUACUGCUAAUUAAAGAGAGUUUAGCUGCAUCAGCCAUAUAACCUAACCAAGUUUGAAUAUGUUGAUUCCAAGCAAUAUUGACCAAAGUUCAAUUCAUUACCUUGGACCUGGCUUCAUCAGAUCAAGUUUCCAAUCACUUAAAUCCAAUGAUAAGAAAUUAUAAAAUUGACUUAGUAAUAAAAGGAAAAAAAAAAAAGAGAAAAGUCAUAGAUUUGAUUCUUUCUAUUAAUAAAAAAUUAAUAAUUAAUAUUUGUGGAUGGAAAAAAAAAUCAAAUGAUAAUCAAUUGAUUGUUGAUUUAAUCUGCAGGUAGAGUGGGUUAUAUAUAUAGGCUGGCUAUUAUAUAUGUAAAAUAAAGAAAAAGAUGUUUAGAAUCUGAGCCUAAAUUUCUAUUCUAUAUAUGUGUGUAGUGUGUGUUCAAACAUGCCAUAGGUCACAUAGCCUAUAAGACUCCCGAGAAGUUAUCUUCUCUGGGAGGUUUGUUAAAUAUUAAACAGAGUUGUCAAAGUCUGGAUAGAAGAAUUCAUACCAGGCAUAACUUGAAGCAGUUGUUGUUGUGAAUCAUGACUGAAAUUAAGGGUACCACGGCCAAGCGUUGGAAUUGGAAAUUAACCUAGUUAGAAUCAGAAAACUUCACAUAUAUAGAUAUUCUUGCACCUGAUCAUGUAUAUGAAUCAGCCAUCUCAGCUAUAUUAAUUAUCAUUGACCAGUCCUCGUGAGACGUAUAUAUAUACCUUUCCAACAGAAUUGUUUAGCUAGAAAUUAAUAAACAACAGGCAAAUUAAUCAAGAUUCCAGCAAAUUAAUCAUCACCUCGCUCGCAAGCAACAAAAUGGUUGACUAUUAUUACCCGAAAGCUAGCAAUAGCACAAAACCAAAUAAUGAAUACAUAAUCCAUCGACCCUUUUCACUCAAUCGAUCUCAUCGGUGACUACAUGUGGCAACAAGCCAAUUCCAUAUAGAGGUUUGCUGCUGUAGGUUUAUGCACCUUGUCUAUAUCUACCCUCUUGUGUGAAACAGCUGCUACUUUCCUAGCUACCAUCUUAGUUCCAACGAGGGAUCCUUCAUCUCAGCUAUAUAUAUCUAGUGUUGAUCUAUGCAUGCACCUUGUAUGUAAUAGCAUGUUCCUCUAGCUAGGAUGAAUUAUAUAUGAUAUUCAUUACUCCGCUGUGACAUAUAUAUAUAUAGAGAGAGAGAGAGGUAAA